AGGGCUGUUGUAGGCAGCUCCAGUUAAUUUUGUUCUUUUUCACUAUUAAUUAUUAUUGGAAACAAUUUCCAGUGAAUUUAAAUCCUCAUGUCUAUGCAGUAGGGCUGCAUCGUGCUCUGGAUUUGCAUGUGGAAAGGUGCAGUUUUCUCUACAGAAAUACAUUGUUCACCAAGGAGAUAGAAUACUUCACUACAAUGCCCCACAGCCCCUAAAACCAGAUGGUCCAGGCAGAAUUUACCGCUGAACUUUGUUCCCCUGGAGAUGGGAGCUUCCCUCCCUGGAAGGAGCCCUUCCAAAAGCCGCCUCUGAGUUGCUAAGAAACAGCUUGUCACUGUGGCAUGGGCUGUAAUCAGUUGUGUACAGAGCGUUCAACGCUCCUGGUACGUCUGCAUCAAUUAUGCAUCGUCGGUGUGAUUUUUCUUCCUGUGGAAACUUGGCUUCCAGAGGCUCUUUGUGGUGCUCCAGCCAUGACCUAAACCCUCCUCUGCUGAAUAAUUCCUACCGAGACAACACAGUUUCCCCGCUGUGUUUUCCACGCUGCCGUGUUUCAGCAAGGCAAAUAAAUCAGGCUGUCUCCUGCCACCGGGCAGCCUUGUUUGCUCAA